UACGGGGGGGGGCAAGCGUUGUUCGGAAUUACUGGGCGUAAAGAGCGUGUAGGCGGCCAGGUAGGUCUGCUGUGAAAACUCGAGGCUCAACCUCGAGACGUCGGCGGAAACCAUCUGGCUAGAGUCCGGAAGAGGAGAGUGGAAUUCCUGGUGUAGCGGUGAAAUGCGCAGAUAUCAGGAAGAACACCCGUGGCGAAGGCGGCUCUCUGGGACGGUACUGACGCUGAGACGCGAAAGCGUGGGGAGCGAACAGG
rnacentral:rRNA from 1 species